UCUGCCCUGCUCAGAUGCCCAGCACAGCAAGGACAUGGAGAUGCUGGAGUGAGUCCAGAGGAGGCAACAAGAUGAUUAGAGGAAUGGAGCAGCUCUACUGUGAGAAAAGGUUGGGAGAUUUGAUUCUUCAGCCUGGAGAAGGGAAGCUUUGGAUGACCU